AUGAACGCUGGCGGCGUGCUUCACACAUGCCAGUCGCACGAUGAAGCCCAGCUUGCUGGGUGGAUUAGUGGCGAACGGGUGAGUAACACGUGAGUAACCUGCCCUUAACUCUGGGAUAAGCCUGGGAAACUGGGUCUAAUACCGGAUAGGAGCGCCUACCGCAUGGUGGGUGUUGGAAAGAUUUAUCGGUUUUGGAUGGACUCGCGGCCCAUCAGCUUGUUGGUGAGGUAAUGGCUCACCAAGGCGACGACGGGUAGCCGGCCUGAGAGGGUGACCGGCCACACUGGGACUGAGACACGGCCCAGACUCCUACGGGAGGCAGCAGUGGGGAAUAUUGCACAAUGGGCGAAAGCCUGAUGCAGCGACGCCGCGUGAGGGAUGACGGCCUUCGGGUUGUAAACCUCUUUCAGUAGGGAAGAAGCGAAAGUGACGGUACCUGCAGAAGAAGCACCGGCUAACUACGUG
rnacentral:rRNA from 1 species